AAACUUGAAUUUAUUAAUGAUAUUUUCGGUUCUUCUUAUCCAAAUGGAGCCCACUAUCAAAGGCCCAAUUUCAAGACACUUCUUCCUAGCCAAGACCGUCCUAAUUCUCUAGACCUAACAGAACAACCCCAUCACCAGCCUUCUCCCUUAGACAAAAAGAUACAAACACACACGACUCCUUCCCCUGUUUCUGAUCUUCUUCUUCUAACCUAGACAAACCAAGACACACAAGAGCUAACCCUGACUACUUCAGCUUCAGAACCUUAGAACAACACAAAACUUAGCAGCAAAAGAACCUAGGAUAGACCACAUCCAUCGACACCCCUGAGAGAAAUACGAACACAGUAACGCCGACACCUCUCAUCUUCAACCCAAAAGCUUGCCGGAAAACGGCCACACGAUCGCCCUUCCGCCGUCCGCUAAACGUGCCUGAAUUCGACAACCAGCGACGUCACCCUCCAUCCCAACUCGCUGGAACCUCUGCUUCUUCUUCUCACCUUUCAAAUCGCCGGCGAACACUCUCCCUCUAGUACUCUGUCACUGAAUCUCCCUGGAGCGAUAAAAUAGUAACGUCUGCCGUCACCGGAACGUCAAUCAUUCCAGUCUCUUUCCGGCAUCAAACAUCUUCUUCGUCUCUGUUUACAUCUAGAAGCCUAAGGAAGCAAAUAAUCUCUGUUCUCCGAAGUCCGUAUUCUGAUUCAUCAGCUCUUGUAAGCGAGUCACUGAGUUGAGGCCCAUACGUGGUUCGGUUCGCUUAUUUUGCUCGUAGUUUGGUCGUCGGUUUGAAUUUCGGUUCAUCAAUCUGUUAUUAAGAGAAAUUUUGCUCGCCUAAAGGUCUAUUGUUUUCCUCUAUCUCAUUUGUUUGUUCAAUAUAUUUUGGAAGUUUGUUCGUGUUUGUUUGUGAUGAUGAAAUUUCUGCCGACUAUGAAAUUGUCCUCUUAAUACAUAAAAUUGAGCUUUGUUCGGAGUUGGAAUGAUUGGUUGCUGGAAAGUUAUUAAGUUAAAGGACAUUAGGGACAUGAAUUAGAAGUACUGGAUCUAGUAGUGGGAUUGGGAACAUAGAGAUGGAAAAUGCAGCUUGUAUGUGCUGCACUCCUUGUCACGUUUUUACCUUCUUAUUUCUAUUUAUCACUUAGUCAUAUGUUUACGCCUAUCACAUUUAGAGUAGGCAAAUUUUAAAAUUUUGUUAGUUUUAAAGUGGAAGAUCGUUUCUUUAAUUAAAUUUAUUCGAAGAAUGCUCGAGGAAUUUGUAUAUAUUUUAUUUCAGGGUUAUACUCCAAAGUGAAUGUAAUGGAGGCCGCAAUUACAUCGUCCAGGAAGUAUAGUGUAGAUUAGCUUAAGAUUUUACUUUUUAUUAUUUUUAUUUUUAUUUUUAUUUUUAUUUUUAUUUUAUUAGGCAGGA
rnacentral:lncRNA from 1 species